rnacentral:rRNA from 1 species
GACGAACGCUGGCGGCGUGCCUAAUACAUGCAAGUAGGACGCAGUUGCGAACGGGUGAGUACCGCGUAGGUAACUGCCUAUUAGAGGGGGAUAACUAUUGGAAACGAUAGCUAAUACCGCAUACUAGUAGAUGGACCUGCGUUGUAUUAGCUAGUAGGUAGGGAAAUGGCCUACCUAGGCGACGAUACAUAGCCGACCGGAGAGGGGGAUCGGCCAAACUGGGACGGGGACAUGGCCCAGACUACUACGGGAGGCAGCAGGAGGGAAUCGUCGGAAAUGGGGGGAACCCUGACCGAGCAACGCCGCGUGGGUGAAGAAGGUUUUCGGAUCGUAAAGAUCUGUUGUUAAGGAAGCGGUACUUAACCAGAAAGGGACGGCUAACUACGUGCCAGCAGCCGCGGUAAUUC